GCCGGGCGUGGUGGCGCACGCCUAUAGUCCCAGCUACUCGGGAGGCUGAGGUGGGAGGAUCGCUUUAGUCCAGGAGUUCUGGGCUGCAGUGCGCUAUGCCGAUCGGGUGUCCGCACUAAGUUCGGCAUCAAUAUGGUGACCUCCCGGGAGCGGGGGACCACCAGGUUGCCUAAGGAGAGACAAAAGGAAUAUGGCCGGGGCAGGGAGAGUCUUUUGUAGAGACAGGGGUGGGGUUUGUAGGGGCAGAGGUGGGGUUGAGUGAGGUAGUGACUAGGGAAUGGAGGAGCCCAUGUUGU
ensembl:misc_RNA Metazoa_SRP Metazoan signal recognition particle RNA